CGAUAACGAACGAGACCUUAACCUGCUAAAUAGCCAGGCCCGCUUCGGCGGGUCGCCGGCUUCUUAGAGGGACUAUCGGCUCAAGCCGAUGGAAGUUUGAGGCAAUAACAGGUCUGUGAUGCCCUUAGAUGUUCUGGGCCGCACGCGCGCUACACUGGCAGAGCCAACGAGUUCAUCACCUUGGCCGGAAGGUCUGGGUAAUCUUGUUAAACUCUGCCGUGCUGGGGAUAGGGCAUUGCAAUUAUUGCCCUUCAACGAGGAAUGCCUAGUAAGCGCAUGUCAUCAGCAUGCGUUGAUUACGUCCCUGCCCUUUGUACACACCGCCCGUCGCUACUACCGAUUGAAUGGCU
rnacentral:rRNA from 1 species